rnacentral:rRNA from 1 species
GAUGAACGCUGGCGGCGUGCCUAAUACAUGCCAGUCGAGCGAACGGACGAGAAGCUUGCUUCUCUGAUGUUAGCGGCGGACGGGUGAGUAACACGUGGAUAACCUACCUAUAAGACUGGGAUAACUUCGGGAAACCGGAGCUAAUACCGGAUAAUAUUUUGAACCGCAUGGUUCAAAAGUGAAAGACGGUCUUGCUGUCACUUAUAGAUGGAUCCGCGCUGCAUUAGCUAGUUGGUAAGGUAACGGCUUACCAAGGCAACGAUGCAUAGCCGACCUGAGAGGGUGAUCGGCCACACUGGAACUGAGACACGGUCCAGACUCCUACGGGAGGCAGCAGUAGGGAAUCUUCCGCAAUGGGCGAAAGCCCGACGGAGCAACGCCGCGUGAGUGAUGAAGGUCUUCGGAUCGUAAAACUCUGUUAUUAGGGAAGAACAUAUGUGUAAGUAACUGUGCACAUCUUGACGGUACCUAAUCAGAAAGCCACGGCUAACUACGUG